rnacentral:rRNA from 1 species
GACGAACGCUGGCGGCGUGCUUAACACAUGCAAGUCGAACGGAAAGGCCCUGCUUUUGUGGGGUGCUCGAGUGGCGAACGGGUGAGUAACACGUGAGUAACCUGCCCUUGACUUUGGGAUAACUUCAGGAAACUGGGGCUAAUACCGGAUAGGAGCUCCUGCUGCAUGGUGGGGGUUGGAAAGUUUCGGCGGUUGGGGAUGGACUCGCGGCUUAUCAGCUUGUUGGUGGGGUAGUGGCUUACCAAGGCUUUGACGGGUAGCCGGCCUGAGAGGGUGACCGGCCACAUGGGGACUAAGAUACGGCGCAGACUCCUACGGGACGCAGCAGUGGGGAAUAUUGCACAAUGAGCGGAAGCCUGAUGCAGCAACGCCGCGUGCGGGAUGACGGCCUACGGGUUGUAAACCGCUGUCGCCUGUGACGAAGCGUGAGUGACGGUAAUGGGUAAAGAAGCACCGGCUAACUACGUG